rnacentral:rRNA from 1 species
UGGGGAAUAUUGCACAAUGGGCGGAAGCCUGAUGCAGCGACGCCGCGUGGGGGAUGAAGGCCUUCGGGUUGUAAACUCCUUUCGACAGGGACGAAGCUUUUGUGACGGUACCUGUAUAAGAAGCACCGGCUAACUACGUGCCAGCAGCCGCGGUAAUACGUAGGGUGCGAGCGUUGUCCGGAAUUACUGGGCGUAACGAGCUCGUAGGUGGUUUGUCGCGUCGUCUGUGAAAUUCCGGGGCUUAACUCCGGGCGUGCAGGCGAUACGGGCUGACUUGAGUGCUGUAGGGGAGACUGGAAUUCCUCGUGGGGCGGUGAAAUGCGCAGAUAUCAGGAGGAACACCGAUGGCGAAGGCAGGUCUCUGGGCAGUAACUGACGCUGAGGAGCGAAAGCAUGGGUAGCGAACAGG